CCUGGAGAGCUUGGUAAGAUACAGAUUCCUGGGCUUCGCCACCAGAGGCACUGGUUCAAUAGCUCUGAAGUGGGGUCUAAAAUUUGAAAUUUCUACCAAGCUCUCAGGUGAUGCUUAAGCUGACCAGCCCCAGACCGCACUUUAAAGAGAGCACUGCCCUAGGGGAAAGCAGAUGAACAACAGGAAAGGAAUUGGGGUCACUAAAUGAUCUUAUGUAACAGGGAAGACAGAAAUAAACUUUCUUCCUUUCUUUUUUCUCUCUAAUGUUUAUUUUUGAGAGAGCGCAAGCCUGGGGAGGGGCAGAGGGAGAGGAAGAUAGAAGACCCCCAAGAGGCCUCUGCGCUGACAGCCGUGAGCCGACCAGCGGGGCUUGAACUCAAGAACGGUGAGAUCAGGACCCGAGCGGAAGUCGCACGCUCAACCAACUGAGCCCUCCCAGGGCCCCCCGGAAAUGAACUUUCUUGAGCCAGUGUCAGUAUAGCGCAUGCCACCUUGUGGUAGAUUAGCUCCCAUCCUAAUUCAGUUGGUACUCAAUAAUUGCCUGUUGGAUGGCUGAAUGGAAUGCCGGCCAAAUGCAUGUGAUGGCCUUUGAGGUGGCCUGUGGUUGAAGAAUCAACCAGGAUGAGCGUAGAGCCAAGAUGCCAGAUCUUACCCAAAGGAUCAGAUUCAGGCCAUACCGGAUGUGCCCAAAUCAUUUCCAUCUGACGCCCAGGACAGCCUGGGAGGCCUGGUCUUAGGGAGCAACUCCCAGCUAGUUCUAUUCAUGCAGGGACCCAAAUAGAACCACGUCAGUUGUGUCUGUCCAGCCUGGGCCCAGGCUCUGUUUACAUCGUCUCGCUAGUUCUCUUCUGUCAGCUGAGUUUUAGAAAUGUGUUGCUGUUUGCAUUCUGGCCAUGGACUAAAGUAGGGAGGGGGGGGGGAAGCCUUCAUUCCUGUUUUACCUGCCUCCCAACUUCUCCCUCCCCACCAUAUAAACGACAUGUUUCUUAUAAAGCAGAGUUUAUUUACAAAGAUGGGUAAACUGAGGCACCAAGCGGUAAACUGAUGUGCCCCCGGCUCUGCUUCAUAAUUGUUUAACAAAGAAAGGGACAUCUCCCUGUCCAGAACAAAACCUUUGGAAGCUAAGAGAGUGUUAAAUCAAAAGGAAAACACCAGACUUUGUAAAGAAUCCCUUUGUUGCCGUUUCUGGGAAUUCUGCUUGGAGCCCACCUGCCUGGCCCCCAGAUCUUCACUGCUCCCCAAGACACAGAGAGCCUUUUAGUUCCGUGUUCACCUCUGCAUUGUGCAGGCAUAAUCAGACGAAAUACACCUGGCAGAAAGGAUUUCCAGCUGCUGCUGAAGGCAGCAGUGUUUGCGUGGAGGAUGGAGGUCGAACAUGCUAGCAUUUAACAGGGAGGCGGUGUCUAACGUGAAGUGAGACAGGAAGAUGUGACUGACGGCCCAAGGCACUGGGCCAGGUCUGCUCAGGACCUCUGCCUCUGCUGGCUUGUUCUAGCACAGACAGCGGUCCUACCUCAGGAAGGCCCGUUACACAUCCUUGCGUUCAGCCCUCUGUUAUUUUUCAAAAAGACUAUUUUUUUUAGGGCAGUUUUAGGUUCAUAACAAAACGGGGAGGAAGGUACAGAGAUUUCCCAUACACACCCUGUCCCCACGCACACGCCCCCCCAUUAUUUAUGUCGCUCGCCAGAGACAUACAUUUGUUACCAAGGAGGGACCAACAUUGACACAUCCUGAUCACCCAGAGUCCGAGACCUAAAUUAGCCUUAGGUUUCACUCUUGGUAUGGCACACUCUGUAGAUUGGAACAAUGUAUAAAGACAUGUAUCCAUCAGUAUAAUAUCAUAUGGAGUAUUUUCACUGCCCUAAAAAUCCUCUGUGCUCUGCCUAAUGAUCUCCUCUCCCCUUCCACCCCAGCCCCUGGCAACCACUGAUCCUAUUACUAUCUCCACAGUUUUGCCUUUUCCAAAACGUCAUAUAGGUGGAAUCAUAUCACGUAGCCUUUUGAAGUCGGCUUCUUUCGCUUAGUAUAAUGUUCCACCGUGUCUUUUCUUGGCUUGAUAGCUCAUUUCUUUUUCGUGCUGAAUAAUAUUCCAUAGUCUGGAUGUACCACAGUUUAUUUAUCCAUUCACAUACUGAAGGAUAUCUUGGUUGCUACCCAGUCUUGGCAAUUGUAAGUAGAGCUACUAUUAAACAUGCGCGCAGGGUUUUGUGUGGACGUGUUUGCAACUCCUUUAGGUAAAUACCAAGAAGAUUGCUUGCUGAUCCAUGCAGUAGGAGUAUAUUGAGUUUUAUGAGAAACCACCAAACUGUCUUUCAAAGCGGCUGUCCCAUUUGGCAUUCCCACCAACAAUGAAUGGGACUUCCUGGUGCCCCACAUUCUCACAAGCGUCUGGUGACGUCAGUGUUCUGGAUUUUGGUCAAUCUAAUAGGUGUGCAGUGGUAUCUCAUUUGCAUUUCCCUGAUGCCUAUGGUGU